GGAGAGAUGGAUGAGCGGUUUAAGUCGCACGCCUGGAAAGCGUGUAAGGGUUAACAGCCCUUCCGGGGUUCGAAUCCCCGUCUCUCCGCCA
rnacentral:tRNA from 1 species